UAGCUCAGUUGGUAAAGAAUCUGCCUGCAGUGCAGAAGACUCAGGUUCAAUUCCUGG
rnacentral:tRNA from 1 species